CCUACGGGAGGCAGCAGUGGGGAAUAUUGCACAAUGGGGGGAACCCUGAUGCAGCGACGCCGCGUGGGUGAAGGAGCACCUCGGUGCGUAAAGCCCUAUCGGCAGGGAAGAAAAGCGAACAGGUUCGCCUGGACGGUACCUGACUAAGAAGCCCCGGCUAACUACGUGCCAGCAGCCGCGGUAAUACGUAGGGGGCAAGCGUUAUCCGGAUUCACUGGGUGUAAAGGGAGCGUAGACGGCGACGCAAGUCUGGAGUGAAAGCCCGGGGCCCAACCCCGGGACUGCUCUGGAAACUGCGUCGCUGGAGUACGGGAGGGGCAGGCGGAAUUCCUGGUGUAGCGGUGAAAUGCGUAGAUAUCAGGAGGAACACCGGCGGCGAAGGCGGCCUGCUGGACCGUGACUGACGUUGAGGCUCGAGAGCGUGGGGAGCAAACAGGA
rnacentral:rRNA from 1 species